rnacentral:rRNA from 1 species
GGCGAGAGACCGAUAGCGAACAAGUACCGUGAGGGAAAGAUGAAAAGAACUUUGAAAAGAGAGUUAAACAGUACGUGAAAUUGUUGAAAGGGAAACGAUUGAAGCCAGUCGUACCUAUGGGUAAUCAGCCUUUUGGGUGUGAUUUUGUGGAGCGUGAGGAGUUAAACGCCUUCAUGCCUGCAUAUUCGUGCACUUUGGGUGUACUUGCCCGUGUGUAAGUUAACAUCAAUUUUGGUGGUCAUAAAAUGG